GACGUAGGAGGCGAGCGUUGUCCGGAUUCAUUGGGCGUAAAGAGCACGCAGGCGGUUUGGCAAGUCGGAUGUGAAAACCCGAAGCUCAACUUCGGGCCUGCAUCCGAAACUGCCCGACUAGAGGUAGGUAGGGGAGAUCGGAAUUCCUGGUGUAGCGGUGAAAUGCGCAGAUAUCAGGAGGAACACCGGUGGCGAAGGCGGAUCUCGGGGCCUUACCUGACGCUCAGGUGCGAAAGCUAGGGGAGCGAACAGG
rnacentral:rRNA from 1 species